AUUGAACGCUGGCGGCAUGCUUUACACAUGCAAGUCGAACGGUAACAGGCCGCAAGGUGCUGACAAGUGGCGAACGGGUGAGUAAUGCAUCGGAACGUGCCCAGUCGUGGGGGAUAACUACUCGAACGAGUAGCUAAUACCGCAUACGAUCUAUGGAUGAAAGCGGGGGACCGUAAGGCCUCGCGCGAUUGGAGCGGCCGAUGUCAGAUUAGGUAGUUGGUGGGGUAAAGGCUCACCAAGCCAACGAUCUGUAGCUGGUCUGAGAGGACGACCAGCCACACUGGGACUGAGACACGGCCCAGACUCCUACGGGAGGCAGCAGUGGGGAAUUUUGGACAAUGGGCGCAAGCCUGAUCCAGCAAUGCCGCGUGCAGGAAGAAGGCCUUCGGGUUGUAAACUGCUUUUGUACGGAACGAAACGGCUCUGGUUAAUUCCCGGGGCUAAUGACGGUACCGUAAGAAUAAGCACCGGCUAACUACGUG
rnacentral:rRNA from 1 species